GACAGAGGAUGCAAGCGUUAUCCGGAUUUACUGGGUUUAAAGGGUGCGUAGGCGGGCAUGUAAGUCAGUGGUGAAAUACCGGAGCUUAACUUCGGAACUGCCAUUGAUACUAUAUGUCUUGAAUAUUGUGGAGGUAAGCGGAAUAUGUCAUGUAGCGGUGAAAUGCAUAGAUAUGACAUAGAACACCGAUUGCGGAGGCAGCUUGCUACGCAAAUAUUGACGCUGAGGCACGAAAGCGUGGGGAGCAAACAGG
rnacentral:rRNA from 1 species